AGGAGCGUGCGAGCCGGAGGCUCGGCCGGUAGCCGGCCACGCGGGGGCGGGACCCCGAGUCUGGCCGGAGCGGCCCGGCGGUUAGGUACGACAGUGGUGGGCGCUGCGGUCGCCCCGCCCCGCCCCGCCCCGCCCCGCCCCUCCGGGUGUGGAGGGAGACUGGGUUGGCCCCGGGAAGUCCACUGGCGAAAGAAAGCGUCUUGGAAUUGAGCGCCUCCGACUUAAGUAAGACACCUCGGACCUCUAGGACGUCUCUGACGGGGUGGAGAACUGCAGUCUCCGGAAAGUAACUAGAAACGAGGGUUGGGAGUCGGAGUGGGAGACCCUCUGUCCUCUGAGACCCGAGUCCUUAGUGGCUAGUCCUGGUGCAAGCCUGGGUUAGGCGUUGAAGCUUCGCGGAGGAAGGAAAUGGGUGAGCUCGUCUCACCUGUGAGCAAUCCUCGGCUGGGCAGGGCUGGUGCUAAGUUCCUCUGUGCACGCCGACAUGUGUGAGGUCUCAGAGAUGUAGAUUAAUAAAGGGCGCCUACCGGGGCUGAAGAGAUGCCUCAAACUUUCUGCUCUUAGAGGACCAGAUUUCGGCUUCCAGCACCUGUAACUGCCUGGAACCCCAGCUCCAGGGAAUCCGAUGCCAUCUGGAACCAGGACAAGUGCACAAAGACAGACAUGCCCAUAAAGUAAAAAACAAAAACAAAAACACACCUUUAGCAGGGGCAGAGGGCAUCUACAACCUGACUUCCUCCUCUAGUAAUAGAAUCUACAAGGGUUUCCAUAGUCUCAAUAAAGCUUGUUUCCAGACUCUCACUCUGCAGGACCCACAGAAGUUAGGGAAGCCUGAGAAACUAGAGUGAACCACAUUUUAAUAUAAUGGACACAGUGUGCUCAUAAUUGUUGGGGCAAAAAAAAAAGUGGUUAUGCUUGAACCGAUGACACUGGAAUCGGUAAAGCUGGUAGGGUUUUUUGUUUUUUUGUUUUUUUUUUUGGGCAGGAGAAACAGAGGCUAGUCAGGACAUGGAGAAAAUAGUGCCCCGGUGACUUGGAGCAAAUUCUUUUUAAUGUGCUGAUUUACUUUGUGUGUGACGGUCGGUGUGCCCAUGUGGAGGUCAGAGGACACUUUUGUGGGAGUCAGUUUACUCAAGUUGUCCGGCUUGAUGGUAGGCACCACUACCCUGCCGAGCCGUCUUCCUGGCCCUGUUUUCCUACUCUGUAAAAAUGAGUUUCAACAAUCGAAGUGAGGAGUUUUCAUGUACGUCAUUCUUGUAGAACCUCAUCUAUCAUAAGCGUCUUGUAAAUGUUAGCUGCAGUCUAAAACGCAGUGAAUAGAAACAUGUCACUCAGAAGAAAAAGUUCAAUUUUACAAAGAACCUAGGAAGAGUUCGUGGGUGGCUGGGUUAGCUAAAGCUGUAGAAAAACGUAUCCGUUAUAAAUAUCAGUCACCCAGAAAAUAUCCUUAGCAUUUGUGUGCGUCAACUCCUGUUCAGGUUCUGAAAAUGGUUCUUACUCAGUUUACAUUCUAGGAAGGAAGCGAGGCCCGUAAGUCACUCAGGGGAGAGACCUUCACAAGUUUAGACCUGGGCAUGGUGAUUACCGGAGGCUGAGGAAGAGGCCAAGUUCCAGGCCUGCUUGAGUUGGAGUGACUUCCAGGUCGGUGGUCCUGAUGAAAACGAAUCUCCACGGCGGAGACCGAUUGUAAAGAGUCUGACUACACGUCACACUUUGGGGUCUUUGUCUACAUCAAGGUCUCCACUAUCACUUCACACGGAAUUGGCUGAGGCGUUUGGAAGACAUCUGGAGUGGUCACAGAUCACCUUUCAGGAGAGGCUGGAGCCCAGCAAGGAUGGGUCAGUGGUAGGAGGGACCACGCCUCGACUGAACUCGUACGUCACUGUGGUUCUCCUCCUAAAUCCUUCACGUUGCUCAUGGGAGAGCAAGCCGGCUGCUGGAGAUGCUGGGCACCCAUCCAGGGUAGCAGAGACUGAGUCACACAGCCACUGCGAUGUCACCACUGAGUCUGGAGGAAGAAAGCCUCAAUUUGAGGUCUCCUCUGUGCUUCUUCACUAGCAAGCAGGUACAAAUGGGAAAUUCUGCCUCGGAUGAUUCACCCUUUGGAAACUGAUUUAAAAUAAAGUAAAAUGAAACAGGCAGCAGAUGUAGACUUCCCGGCGAAGCAUCGGCAAAAAGCUUGUAACCAUAAAGAAACUGUUUAGCUUCGUCAAACAGAGAAAUGCAAAGUAAAAAAACAAGUCUAGAAGACGUGGGGCGGCUGUGGUUUGGAGAUCACCCACCGAUGAGCAGCAGAGCUUGGCCCUCACUCGGGGCAGGAAGGUGGGGUAUGAGAGACAAUGCAGUCACCCUUGAAGAUACCUUAAAACACACACACACACACACACACACACACACACACACACACACACACACGACAAACUAAUUAUGACUACUGGGGAGCAGACUGGGGAAAUCCAGAAGACUGAUUACACUGAGGCUAAGAAUAAGGCUCUCACAUUGCGGGCAGGGCUGGGAACAGUACCUCCCCCUUAGAGGAGAGCUGAUACAGACCCCUGGCUAUCAUACAGGCAUCACCUGGAAAUGUCUAGGCUGUCAGACACAGCACAGCCAAGGUGGCAGGAGGUGAGCCAGCCCAAUCUCCCCAACCCUGGCAAGGAACGGUAGCCUUCCCAGAAGGCAUCUGCUGGAGAAAGGGGGCUGCAUCUGUGUGGAGCCUCACGGGUGUUACCAGAGGCCCCAGGCACAGACCUGUCACUCAUUCUUCUGCAUUCCGUCCCUUGUCCAGGGUCAGGGCCUGCAGACGGGAACACGGAACCGUCUGCAGUCUGGGGCUCUGGCAUCUUUCUCAGAGGCUCUCCUGGUGUCAAGAACACAAGCUCUGGCAUCCCAGGGAAACACAGUGGGCAAAAGAUGUAUCCCCUUCUCUGUGUUGAACCCUUAAGCCCUCGGGGGCCAAUUUUGAUAUGCUCAGCAUCUUGGCAAUUAUCUGUGGUCCCACGCAACAGUUAGUUAUACAGCCUUCUUACAUCUGUGUUUUUUUCUGGUUGUAAAAAUGUGAGCUCAUUUAAAAACACACCCCACCCUCCCCGACAGACUGGGGAGAUGGGUUAGGUCCCCAAAGUACCUGCCAUCCAUGUGUGAGGAACUCAGUCAAAUUCCCGGUGCCCACAUAAAAGGUGGGUGCGCCACCCAUGGUUAUAAUCCAAAUGUGAGGGAAGCGGACAGGGGAGGAUUCCUGGGGCUUCUGGGUAAGCCAGUCUAGCAGAAACAGUGAAUUGUAGAUUCAGGGGAAAUUGAGAGACAUAACAGACACACAAAACAAACAACAAAGAAUCCUCACGCCGACAGCCACCCCCUUAAAACCGUGUUUCUGUAAGUAAUGAUAAAUUAAUUCUUACUAGAAUAAUUAAACACAUUAGCGUUUCCUGUU